CAAUACGCAGUGAUUAAGGUUCCCCGGGACAACACAGUUGAUGUAGUGCCUUCCAACUGGCUUGAAGAAACAGAAGAGGGUAUAUAUUGCUACUGGCCAAGAAAAAAUUUGACUGCCAAAGCAAAAAGAAGAGAAACUCCAGAUACCUUCUGGUCAAAACAUGUUGCAGUGGUUCUGGUGUAUGCAGGUAUUUAGGAUGAUUUAAGAUUUAUAUUUGUCACAUACAUGGUUAAUACUGUUCUCUUUCUGGUGAAAACAAGCUAUCAUGUUCUUUCCAGAUAGCUAUGAGGAAGCAAGACUGAAGGCCAACCAGGCUAGUGUGACAUCAGACCUGGAGAGUGAUGAGGAAUCUCCAUGGAGACCAGUACGACCUCCAGCUAGAUACAGAAGACGGCUGGAUAGUGACAACACAGGGUUGAAGAAACUUGAACGAGUCAUGAACAUUCGACUUGACAAAAUGGAACAAAGGAUGUCAGCCAUUGAAACUCUUUUAAGAAAUAUUACCCAGUCAAACGACAAUUCUGAGUUUCAGCUUAAUCUUUGCCAGAGCACACAGGAACUGGAGGAUUUGUGCUUGAGGAUGAAAGACGGUGAAUACAUGAAAAAAACUGUAAGUAAACUUAACAGCAGAUUAUCUGACUUGAUCUACUGGAUUUUCCAAAACACUACUUGUGUUUUUAUUAUCACCUGA
ensembl:lncRNA